GGCGUGUUCCUUCUAACUCGCUAAUUUGCGACAUUUGGAAGCCCCAGUGAGAAAUUUGCCACCAGGUGCAAACUGGGCUCGUUCAGAGCUCCCACGGGGGAGGAGGCGGACUGCAGGGGAGGCGCCUGUUCCAGGGUCCCAUUAACCACCCCUUACCGGAGGAGAGCGGAUCCCCGGUGCACUCCACUAAAUUAUUCUUCGGAGUCCCUGGUCCUGCUCCGCGGAGAAGAUACUAUCAAGCUUCAGAUGAUUAUUCCACAAGUGUUCCAGCCAAUCCACACCAGGCCAUCAAGGAGCUACCUUGCCUCCACUAGACAAAGCAGGGUUAAAUAAGCCAACAAAAAGGAGGACAGAAAAUUAAGACAGAGGCGGUUUUGAAACCAAGGGAUUUCUCUUGUCACUGGAGCAUCUGCUGGAUUUCCCGAUGUGUUCCCUCAGAGAGAUGUCUGCAUUUUCUAAAAUCAGAUUUCUU
rnacentral:lncRNA from 13 species